rnacentral:misc_RNA from 1 species
GAUGAAGAACGUAGCGAAAUGCGAUAAGUAAUGUGAAUUGCAGAAUUCAGUGAAUCAUCGAAUCUUUGAACGCACAUUGCGCCCGCUAGUAUUCUGGCGGGCAUGCCUGUCCGAGCGUCAUUUCAACCCUCAAGCCCCUCCGGGGGCCUGGCGUUGGGGAUCGGCCCCGCUCCGGCGGCCGGCCCCGAAAUGUAGUGGCGGUCUCGCCGCUGCCUCCUCUGCGUAGUAGAAACACCUCGCAUUGGGACGCGGCGGGCCCACGCCGUUAACCAGAUGAAUUUUUUCAAGGUUGACCUCGGAUCAGGUAGGAGUACCCGCUGAACUUAAGCAUAUCAAUAAGCGGAGGA